UCUGUGGUGUCUCCACCAUGGCCUGGACCCCUCUCCUGCUCCCCCUCCUCACUCUCUGCACAGGUUCUGUGGGCUCUUCUAAGCUGACUCAGCCACCUGUUGUGUCCACGGCCCUGGGACAGACAGCCAGGAUCACCUGCCAAGGAGACAUCUUAGAAAAAAGCUAUGCUCAAUGGUACCAGCAGAAGCCAGGCCAGGCUCCACUGAUAGUGAUUUAUAAGGAUAGUGAACGGCCCUCAGGGAUUCCUGACCGAUUCUCUGGCUCCAGCUCAGGGACCACGAACACCUUGACCAUCAGCGGAGCCCAGACAGAGGAUGAGGCUGACUAUUACUGUUACGCAAGCGACAGCAGUGUUAAUGCUCACAGUGACACGGACUGA